UCUAAGCAUAAAUGACAAUCAACAAUACAAAACCUAACAGGAAGAAGCAAGAAGAAAGAGUUAAGUAAAGUUUGACUUAUCUGACUGUUUUGUUUCGCUUAAUGCAUUUUAUGUGCCUUAUGGUCCAAAAAAUACGGUGUGUUAAAUCUGAUUGAACUAAUCCCUUGUCUUCUGCACAGGAUGGUGAAGGUAAUUCUGUGCAUGUCCAGGUUAAGGAUAAUGGCAACAGCACAUACGCCUGCACCUACACCCCACGUAAGCCUGUGAAGCACACUGUGAUGGUCUCCUGGGGAGACGUUCACAUCCCCGAGAGUCCAUUCAGGAUGAAUAUCGGAGCUGAAUAUCGGAGCGGGCUGUCAUCCGAACAAGGUGAAGGUCUCUGACCCUGGAGUGGCAAAGACGGGCCUCAAAGCCUUCGAGACAACAUACUUCACUGUUGACUGCUCAGAGUCUGGUCAAGGUAAAGCUCCAUAAAACUGUGUGUGUGAGAGUAAAGAUAUGAUCAUAUGAUCAUGUCAAAGAAAUAUUCCAAACAUGUUUAUAAACAGAUAUUACAGGGAAACGUAUUUAACCCACCUGCUGUUUGAGGCUAAAAAUGACUGAAGAGCAUUACCUGCAAAGGUAACAUGCUAACACAGCCUUUGUCCUCUGCCAUCAGGACAAAGGCUGUUUGUGUUUAGACUAUAACAAUGACACCCUUCAGGGUCAAAGUGGAUCCUUCUCAAGGCAGAGGGACCAGGACUCAGCCGCAGUGGUAAGAAUACCUGUACUGCCUCACAAAGUCAGAGAGUACUAACAAAAACAAGUCUGUUGAGUUUGUUUAGUUUGUUGGUCUAUAAUACGGUCGGAAUGUUUUCCGUCAUACUACAUGGAACAACUCUUCAUAACACUUUUAUGAAAAUGUUUGAUGAAAUUGACAAGAUCAAAAUUAAAAUCACAAUCGCACGGAUUUAAAAAGAAGAAUAAACAUGAAUAAACAGGGUUAUAGUUGGUAUGCUAAUGUAAACAGGUCCUUUUGAGCUGUCAUUUGAACUGUGUACCAGUCAAAGCAGUAGUAGCAGCAGGCUGUGAAAGACUUUGAAAUCAUCAACAACCACAACAACACACACACUGUUAAAUAUACACCUGUGCAACAGGCGAGAAAAGAAAUGCUCACACAUGCGGGCGUGGAUUGUAGUUACUUUGUAGUUACUUUGUAUUAUGUGGGUUCUUAUAAGACAAGGAAGCGUUCUUCUGGCUGUUAUAAAUCAUAUUAAAUGGGAGGAUGUGGAUCGCUUCCCUUUCUCAUGACAGGGUCCCCUGGGAGUUGCGUGACCUACAGUGGAGAUCACAUUCCCAAGAGCCCUUUCAGUGUCGUCGUGGCAGCCACACUGGACCUUAGCAAGGUCAAGGUGACAGGCCUGUGAGACAGUUUGUACCUCUGUCAUUGUUCUUGUACAUCCACACCUUCUGACACCAAACCUCAGCCUAUAUAAAGCCUAGUUAUAACCUAUGAAACUAUUAUUUGCUUUUAAAUGUUUGCCUAAGCAUGAAUGUUUUUACGAUGACUUUUUUUACCCCUUGUACAGUUGCCAGUAUAUUGAUGUUUUAAUUUAAUUCUUUUAAAUGAAUCUAAGCUUUUCAAGCAGAUCAGAGGUGUCAGUGUAUUUUUCUUUGGUGUUCUCAUCAAAGUGCUCAUAUACAGGUAAACAUGUUCAAUUCACGGAGCAUCAUUGGUUUUGGUCUCAAUAUUGCCUCUUCAUCAUGGCUUGUGGGUCAGGAGAAAGCAAACAGGCCAUGAGGGACUAUCAGAAAGUUCAGAUCCAGCUGGAGAACCUGGAGAUGAGUGUUUGAGACCGCUGUAAGAAGGAGUUCACAGACUUGAUGACAGAGAUGAUGGACAUGUCCAAUACUUUGCUGGGCUCUGGGAUUGCUUUCCUGGAUUAUCACACAUAUGCUGAGCGCAUUUUCUUCCCGGGGCACCAGGAGUCCCAACUGGGACAAGCUCUGGAUGUUUCACAAAGUUGUAGGCAGACAGUUGAGCAAGGGCUGAUUUCUUUGUCCAAUUUGCUGAACAGUAAACUUUUUCUCACCAAGGUAAGCCUCCACAGCUGCCUUUGAUUAAAUCUUUAUUUAUGUAUUUGUUUUAUUUAUGCCGCCUACAUUUGCUGAGCAAGUCCCUACGCAGUCCACCGACAUCAGAGUGUCUGACUUCAUACAUAUCAUACGUGUUGAUUGACUGUUGGUUCUAUUUUGUUGCUACUACUCUCCAAUGUCAGCUUUACUGGUCUUGACAUAAACGAGGAGGAUUUUUCAUACACAGAUUAAGUAACUUCAUAUUCUCACCAUUACAAAAAUGCAGUAAUCAGAAAAAUCACUUACAUUUUAUUGGGAGUCAAAUUAAAAUAAAAAGGCAAGGUUAAAAUAAACACCUUGUUGAAGAUUGAGGGUAACCGGUAAGAUUAUUUGGCACAAAACAAGUUAUGGAGAGAAGCUGAAUCAUUAGAAAUAUAGAUGUUGAGGCGCUUCUGAUUCUGUGAUUGACAUUAAGUUUAUCAUGUCACCAUCAUGACCAUACCAUGCUAGCUAUAUAAAGUCUCACCUAUGACUCACCUUCAGCUGAAAACAGUCCUGGGAUUUCUAGCAGCACUGUGUUUUUGAAAGUAGCUAAUCAAACCUUGGC